ACGGGGUGCAGCAGGCGCGAAAACUUUGCAAUGGGGGCAACCCCGACGAGGGGAUUCCAAGUGCCAGCACUUUGUGUUGGCUGUUUUCCUGUCUAAAAAACAGGAGGAGUAAGGGGCGGGUAAGACGGGUGCCAGCCGCCGCGGUAAUACCCGCGCCCCUAGUGGUGGUCGAUAUUAUUGAGCCUAAAACGUCCGUAGCCGGUCUUUUAAAUCCUUGGGUAAAUCGGGCAGCUUAACUGUCCGAAUUCCGAGGAGACUGGAAGACUUGGGACCGGGAGAGGUCAGAGGUACUUCUAGGGUAGGGGUAAAAUCCUGUAAUCCUGGAAGGACCACCGGUGGCGAAGGCGUCUGACUAGAACGGAUCCGACGGUGAGGGACGAAGCCCUGGGGCGCAAACGGGAUUAGAUACCCCGGUAGUCCAGGGUGUAAACGCUGCGGGCUUGGUGUUGGGGGUCCUUCGUGGGCGCUCAGUGCCGGAGAGAAGUUGUUAAGCCUGCUGCUUGGGGAGUAUGUCCGCAAGGAUGAAACUUAAAGGAAUUGGCGGGGGAGCAC
rnacentral:rRNA from 1 species